GGUGAACGCUGGCGGCGUGCCUAAGACAUGCAAGUCGAGCGGGGCAGGUUUAUACCUGUUCAGCGGCGGACGGGUGAGUAACGCGUGGGUGACCUACCCGGAAGAGGCGGACAACCUGGGGAAACCCAGGCUAAUCCGCCAUGUGGUCCUGUCCUGUGGGGCAGGACUAAAGGGUGGAUAGCCCGCUUCCGGAUGGGCCCGCGUCCCAUCAGCUAGUUGGUGGGGUAAAGGCCCACCAAGGCGACGACGGGUAGCCGGUCUGAGAGGAUGGCCGGCCACAGGGGCACUGAGACAAGGGGCCCACUACUACGGGAGGAAGCAGGCAGGAAGCUUCCGCAAUGGACGGGAGGCUGAAGGAGCGACGCCGCUUAGAGGAGGAAGCCCUUCGGGGUGUAAAAUCCUGAAAUGGGGACGAAAGCCCUGUGUAGGGGGAUGACGGUACCCAGGUAAUAGCGCCGGCCAACUCCGU
rnacentral:rRNA from 1 species